rnacentral:rRNA from 1 species
GUCUACGGCCAUACCACCCUGAACACGCCCGAUCUCGUCUGAUCUCGGAAGCUAAGCAGGGUCGGGCCUGGUUAGUACUUGGAUGGGAGACCUCCUGGGAAUACUGGGUGCUGUAGGCUU